rnacentral:lncRNA from 1 species
UGUUUGUAAAUUUCUAUAUUUCUUGAAUAAAAACACUUAUAGGUAUAAUAUUCAUACAAAUAAAGUCAUAUACUAACCGAGAUAAAUGUAUUAGUAGCAGCAACACUGUUUGGAAACCACGCAUUUUAAAAGCAUGGCAUUUUUAAAGCUUCAUUUUCAAUACAAGGAAAAGCAGAAAAUGUGACAUGUAUUAGCAAGAUAUACGGACAAAAAAACCCAAACCAACCUCUCCAACGCACUGUAGUGGUUAAGGUAACACAUAGUACCCAUGCACCCCAUCUAUUGUAAGCAGCCAGAAAGAUUUUGAAUGCUUGGAUAGUGCAGUUUCCAGCCUCCACUUCCACCGGAGAGUCGGAUGUUCCUAAGCAGAAACUUCCGUUAGCUCACCUGAGCUAACUCAUACAACGCAAGUCUUAGCUCAUUGGCUGAGAGCGUCAGCUGAUCUCUGCUUAGGAACUGUUGGCUCUCUGGAGAUGGUAGCGGUGAUAGGGCACCACCGGCUGUAGUGGUUAUGGUGCUUAGAUUACUCCUUUAAACCUUAUUUCACCUUGGAGGGAAUUGAUUCAAGAAGAUUGAUCACAAUUUUGGACAGGCUGUAUGUAAUGCUUCAAAUAUGUACCAAGAUCUUUGCAGACAUGUUUUCUGUUUACAGUUAGAACUGCACACUUCUGUAAGCUUUUUCUAGCUCCAUGCGAAGCUCUGAGCCAAAUUCCCAUCAGAGUCAUUUUAUUUGAUUUUUUUUUUUACUUGGAAGGCUAGUUGUAAGAAUGUCUGUCUAAUACAUUUCAUGACUUUCAGAACAUGCUAAGAGCUGGGGCUUUGUGGCUAGCAUUGCAAAUACUGAAGCAGAGAAAUAUUCUGAUGCCGAAAUUCUCCAGGAAGAAAGGGAAAUCCUUUGCCAGAUCCAUCCUGUUUUCCUAGACACAUGAAUAUUGAUUGGAAGCAUUUGCAAAGGUUUGCCCUGCUCGAUGAAGGAGCCAAAUCUUGCAGGCAAUAAAUCAAGUCAUUUACUGAGGUGACAAUACAAUUAAUUAAUUUGGCUCUUGCACCACAGAGUUAGAGACAUUGAAUGGUUACUCUUUGUGGACCAAUAAUUAUUUCAUCAAUGACUAUAAAGAUUCUUUAUAAAAAAAAAAUGGAAUAUCCCACUCAACCUGCCAGGAGAAAGUAUAGACCCGACAAUGCUGAAUAUUAGCACCAGAAAUGUAUUUUUAAUAUUAUAAUUAUCCUUGCAGCAUGUAAUGAAAAGAUAUACUUAAUUUAAAAAUACUGGAAAAUCUGGCCCCUUCUUUCACAGAACACCAGAUCCCUCUGCCUUAUUCAUACACCUUCGGUCAGACAGAGGUAGAAUCUGACUGCUAGGCUCCUGCUUCACUCCCUGCACAGAGAGAGAUCGGUGAUGUCCCCAGAUAGACCCCUAGCGGCAAUCUCACUGUUGGGGGUCUUCACAAAAUUUGCAAAGUCGCCAGACAGUAACAGUGUCACUUUAAUUAUUGUAACACUAUUUUUAAAAAAUUAGUGACACUUUAUUCUUAAUAGUAUUUCAUACAAUGCCAUUUUAAUGCUAAAAAUACAUAGGUCAAAAUAGCAGAGCCACAAAAAUUAGGCCGAAUGGACUACUUCGGUCUUAUGUUUCCAAACAGUUAGCAAUUCAUAUAAAGUCUGUACACACUAGAGGACUCAGGAGGUGACAUUUUCUUAUGGAAACAUUUCAUACUGCCUAAAAGAAAGGAAAAUAAAAUCUAUCAGGCUGUGAUGCGAAUUGUGGAACCUAAAAACUAAACUAAAAAUACUAUAAAAAUUGCUUUGCUUUUCCUUCAAGGAAUAUUUAAAAAAAAAGAUAUCAUCAGUUAUUUAAACAUUCACAAUAAUUUGAAGGGUCAGUCCAAUCAAAAUAACGGCUAUAAACCAGUGUAGUGGUUAUGGUUCCAGGAGUGCCCGGUUGACCCUUCCUCCAAUCUAAGGAGUCAAGGAGUUUAGAUUGCUUUGACUUCUCACAUUGGAUCGGCCUUGCAAUGCCUCCUCUUUGGUGGAAGCACUCAGCUUUGGGAUAAGCCCGGCGGUGCUGGACCUAGCUCGUUGGCCGAGAUUGAUCAGCCAAUGAGCUGGCCUUGCACUUGCAGAAAUUCCUAAGCAGGAGCUUCCGGUUCUCCUAAAAGGUAGAGAGGAGGUAAGAAGUCAAACCAUUAAUAAACUGUUUUACUAAUUACACUGGAAAUGCAGAAACCAUAACCAGGCUUUCAAACUGUCCCGAUUUCAGUGGGACAGUCUCGUCCCAACUUUGUUCCUGGUGACCUGCUUUUGGAAAGUCAGGGAACAAAGUUGGGACUGGACCAUAAAAUACGGGACGCCGAUGUUGGGGCGUAUGCCAUAACCACUACAGUGCAUCGUAAUAGUUAAACUUUACUAUCUAGUCUGUAAACACGUCACUUUGUGUGUGGGAGGCUCAUCCUAACGACUACCACAAUUAACUGCUUGAUUAAUUAGCCUCUACAGACUGAUUGAAUGAGAUCAUACCACCUGCUUAUACAAAUAAUCCUCAAUGUGUAGAAAACUCCUACAAGAUCCAUACUAAAAAUACAUAUUUUGAUGAGAUCAGAGACAAAUAUAUUUUUUUAUAAUUUAACUUGCAGUAUUUCAAACACAAGAGAUAUCAUGAAAUUAUAUCACAAAUAAAAAAUGCAGAAUACCACAUGAAUAAUACUAACCAUCUAUUAAAAUAACACACGUAAAGCUGUGUCUGGAGUCUGUCACAUUUGUGACCGUUAAUAAAAGUAUCUAAUGAAAACAUAUGCAAAUAAAUGCAUGCAUAUUUUUAAUUGGGCAUAUGAAAUAUAUAGUGAUUUUUAUUUAUUUUGUGCAAUGGUACACUCAAUUCUCACAAGUAGAUUUCUGUCAUAUAGGGUAUAAUAAAAAAUUCUGCAAUUUUAUCAAAUUGGGGCAGUCAAAUAGUCUUUUAAUAAAACAAACAAAAAAAGUAAUCGUUAAUACAAUGAAAAGACUAUGUCUGUAGAGAUGCAAAUUAGAACACUCUGUUCUCAUGGAUUAUGGGACAAAAGUUUCCUAGAAUAAGAUUUACAACCUUAUGUAACGUCUGCAGCUGGAAUUGUAACCCUUAGUCUAAUCCCCCGGUACAUAUUGCAGACCAGUCUGCCUUUUUAUUGAACGUUUUAACAUUCUCUCUCACAGCAAAUGCUUUGUUAUAUUACAUAUGUGCUUUCACCAAGACAACUUGACCGUCAACAGGCAUGGCUCCAAAAAACUUGGGCAAUGGGAAUAAAAUAUUUUUUUAAUUAUGUGCCAAUCAUUAAUAUGCCAAAUAAGUUUACUGGCUGUACCUAGUAAAUUGGUUGCACUUCUCUACAAGACUUGUGUCAAUGUCAGAGAGCCAUCCUAUGUACAGCAGGUAAAGGCUGUCGCAAGAACUCCCCCAGAGCAUUAUGGGAGAUCGCCCAUGUCUUGUCUAGCAUUGUAUACUUCCCUGACAGCUAUAUGGUCAUAAUUCUGAUUAUCGGAGUAUAUUUACUAUGUAUUCCUCUCGAUUCAGUUAUUCCAAAAAAGUAUUUUCACUGUAAAGAAGUAUACAAUGAUUUUGGAUUUUUUUUUCAAAGAAAAGGAAAAAAAGUGAAAAAAAUAUAUUUUCCAUAUGAUUACUAUAAAUAAAUGGUUUUGAUAUUGCUUGUAAUAUAAAUAGCAAUUGUUUACUGAAUUUGAUCCAAUGAUUACCUUUAACAACUAAGAUCUUUGGUGAUGUACGAUUUAUGAAUAAAUGCAAUAAUAUUGUAACAGAAAAUGUGAAAUAAUCAUCAAUUUUAUUGUAAUCGAAGACGGUACACAGGCUUUCGUGCUUUCUUAAUUUUUUUUUGCUAAGCUUACUUUAUGAAAAU